GAAAGGGUCCUCUGGGGUUUGACCCCACUUUUUCCACAUCUCUAAGGCUGUGGUGGACAGUGGACAGCCUCUGAAGUGUCCCUGGGGCCUGGAGGGGGUAGUGCAGGAUGGGAAGGGGGAAGGGGGCUCUCAGGAAGCCCCAGGUGACUUCCUGUCCAGUCACACCCACCAUCAGCCAGCCAUGUGUGCUGAGGGGCUGGCCAAAGCCCAGGCUCCUGGCCUGGAGCUGGCUGCGGGUGGAGGUCAGAAGAGAAGUGGGAGAAGGAGGAGACUCGGGCUGGCUGCUGAGAGGCUGGCUCACCCUCCACCCAGAUGAGAAGAACUGUUCUGACUGUAUAUGUGUCAAGUCCGAAUUCCACUGCGGGGACCCUGGAUGCCAGACCUGUACCCACCACCCCUGCCCUCCAGGCCAGGAAGCAGUGCCUGAAGGGAAUUUCAAGUUUGGCUUCAGAUGUGUGGACUGCGCUGUGGGGACCUUCUCCAGUGGCCACGAGGGCCGCUGCAGACCUUGGACAGACUGCGACCAGUUUGGUUUUCUCACCAUGUUCCAUGGGAACAAAACUCACAAUGCUGUAUGCAUCCUGGGGUCUCUGCCCGCUGAGCCACCUGGCCAGCUGACCAUCCUCCUCUUGGCCCUGGCCACCUGCAUCCUCGUCCUGACCACAGCCCAGCUCAGCCUGCACAUCUGGCAGCUGAGGAGGAAGCACAGGUGGCCUCAAGGUCAGUUGGGGUCCCAGGGGAGGAGAGGGUGGAGGGCUCAGGCUGCCGCUGACCACGACCCCCCUACAGAGACCCCGCCACUUCCAGAGGUGCUCCCCCCACCUGCGGAGGAUGCCUGCAGCUGCCAGUUCCCUGAGGAGGAGCGGGGGGAGCGGCUGGAGAAGGACGAGCUGGGGCGUCCUUGGGUGUGAGGCUGACCAUCCUCAGGAGAAGCUGCACCCCAAGCCAGACCCUCCCCAGGAGCUGGCCCAGGCUGACCCUUGGGAGCCAGGGCUCUGCUUUCCAUCUGUUCUGGGCCCGGCCCUGCUCCCCUCAACGGUGGAAGUGGGUACAGGAUGGUGACAGUGACAAGUUCCCUCGACUGUGCAGAAGGGUGGUGGCCAUGGCUGGCCCUGUGGGAGAGAUGGGCAGCCGUGACUGCCUUCCUCCCUGGCCAGCCCUGCUGGGGUGGGGUCUGUGUUCCCCCCACGGGUGUGCAGUGUCCAGCAGGGGACCUGGCUGCAGGUGGUUUUCAAUAAACACUUGUUCAG
rnacentral:lncRNA from 1 species